rnacentral:rRNA from 1 species
AAUAUUGCACAAUGGGCGCAAGCCUGAUGCAGCCAUGCCGCGUGUAUGAAGAAGGCCUUGGGGUUGUAAAGUACUUUCAGCGAGGAGGAAGGCAUUAAGGUUAAUAACCUUGGUGAUUGACGUUACUCGCAGAAGAAGCACCGGCUAACUCGGUGCCAGCAGCCGCGGUAAUACGGNGGGUGCAAGCGUUAAUCGGAAUUACUGGGCGUAAAGCGCACGCAGGCGGUCUGUCAAGUCGGAUGUGAAAUCCCCGGGCUCAACCUGGGAACUGCAUUCGAAACUGGCAGGCUAGAGUCUUGUAGAGGGCGGUAGAAUUCCAGGUGUAGCGGUGAAAUGCGUAGAGAUCUGGAGGAAUACCGGUGGCGAAGGCGGCCCCCUGGACAAAGACUGACGCUCAGGUGCGAAAGCGUGGGGAGCAAACAGGAUUAGAUACCCUGGUAGUCCACGCCGUAAACGAUGUCGACUUGGAGGUUGUGCCCUUGAGGCGUGGCUUCCGGAGCUAACGCGUUAAGUCGACCGCCUGGGGAGUACGGCCGCAAGGUUUAAACUCAAAUGAAUUGACGGGGGCCCGCACAAGCGGUGGAGCAUGUGGUUUAAUUCGAUGCAACGCGAAGAACCUUACCUACUCUUGACAUCCAGAGAACUUAGCAGAGAUGCUUUGGUGCCUUCGGGAACUCUGAGACAGGUGCUGCAUGGCUGUCGUCAGCUCGUGUUGUGAAAUGUUGGGUUAAGUCCCNCAACGAGCNCANCCCUUAUCCUUUGUUNCCAGC